AAGAUUUGGUGCGUAAUAUGCGUGCGAACUCAUAUGCCGGUAUCAUCGAAAUUUACAGACCUACCAGUGGAAACUAAGGUUUUAUAAUUGGAAUUUGGAAUGCUGAGUGUAUUGGGCUGUAUUUGACUGUACACAUGCCACCCCAUUGUAAAUUAAGAAGAGAUAUUACUGUAGAAAACAAUACCAUUCAUUAAAUAUAUAAUUGGUUAGUAAUGCUGACAUGGACAUUAUGAGUGUGGAUGCCAACUGGAACUGGAGCUACUCAUGACAUUUGGGCAAACCAGAGGCAUUAAGCAACAUCUAGAGGACUUAAGCUGGAAUAAAUCCUUAUGAUUACUUGGAGAUCCAGGAUAUGCUUUGGAGAAGUAUACUCCCAUCUCAAAUGUUAUAUCAGGACCACAAGAAGCAUAUUACACUGUAAGA